UGAGGAAUAUUGGUCAAUGGGCGGAAGCCUGAACCAGCCAUGCCGCGUGAAGGACUAAGGCCCUAUGGGUCGUAAACUUCUUUAGACGCAGAGCAAUAAGGGUCUCGUGAGAUCCGAUGAGAGUAUGCGUAGAAUAAGCAUCGGCUAACUCCGUGCCAGCAGCCGCGGUAAUACGGGGGAUGCGAGCGUUAUCCGGAUUUAUUGGGUUUAAAGGGUGCGUAGGCGGAAGUGCAAGUCAGCGGUGAAAUCCCCGCGCUCAACCCGGUGUCGCCGUUGAAACUGGCGUGCUCGAGUGCGUGCGAGGAAGGCGGAAUGCGUUGUGUAGCGGUGAAAUGCAUAGAUAUGACGCAGAACUCCGAUUGCGAAGGCAGCUUUCCAGCGCGCUACUGACGCUGAGGCACGAAAGCGUGGGGAUCGAACAGGAUUAGAUACCCUGGUAGU
rnacentral:rRNA from 1 species